rnacentral:piRNA from 2 species
ACGGUGGUGAGUCAGGAAUGACAGGCAGG